UUUUUCUACAUUUCCAAACUGGUAAGAAAAUGGAUCUCUGAAUGAAAGGAAAAAGAAAUGUGGAUUUGGAGAAGUCCGGGGCCAGCUUGCCGCUGGUGGGCUCAGGAUCAAUCAUCCCAUAUAG
rnacentral:snoRNA from 1 species